AUUGAACGCUGGCGGCAGGCUUAACACAUGCAAGUCGAGCGGGGUGAUGGUGCUUGCACUAUCACUUAGCGGCGGGCGGGUGAGUAAUGCUUAGGAAUCUGCCUAUUAGUGGGGGACAACAUCUCGAAAGGGAUGCUAAUACCGCAUACGUCCUACGGGAGAAAGCAGGGGAUCACUUGUGACCUUGCGCUAAUAGAUGAGCCUAAGUCGGAUUAGCUAGUUGGUGGGGUAAAGGCCUACCAAGGCGACGAUCUGUAGCGGGUCUGAGAGGAUGAUCCGCCACACUGGGACUGAGACACGGCCCAGACGCCUACAGGAGGCAGCAGUGGGGAAUAUUGGACAAUGGGGGGAACCCUGAUCCAGCCAUGCCGCGUGUGUGAAGAAGGCCUUAUGGUUGUAAAGCACUUUAAGCGAGGAGGAGGCUCUUUUGGUUAAUACCCAAGAUGAGUGGACGUUACCCGCAGAAUAAGCACCGGCUAACUCUGUGCCAGCCGCCGCCGUAA
rnacentral:rRNA from 1 species